UCUCCGUUGGUGAACCAGCGGAGGGAUCAUUACUGGAUGCAAUACUCCAACAACCCUUGCGAAUCUACCGAAACGUUGCCUCGGCGGGCCUCGCGCCCGCCGGCGGCCCCUUACUCUUUGCCUCUCGCGUUGUCUCUCCGAGUAUCGCAGAAUGCAUAAAAACUUUCAACAACGGAUCUCUUGGUUCUGGCAUCGAUGAAGAACGCAGC
rnacentral:misc_RNA from 1 species